rnacentral:lncRNA from 1 species
CCAUCCCAGAGGCCCUUAUCUCCGGAGCUGUCCUGUGUGGGGUUGAUACCCAGGCACAGGCUCCUUUGCUCUAGAACCCCUGGGGGCAGUAAUGCAGCCCUUGUGCUCCGAGACUUGUCGAAGUUUGGAGAUACCUGGAGAGCUUGUGGGGCACUCCAGAAGACAAGACAGGGCUAAGGAAGCACAAGGAACUACUGCGAUGACCAUAGGAAGCCACCGCCUCAAGUGUGCCUCAGCUUUCCCACUCAUUUGGUGUGGCUGUUGGUUCUUUCUUCUUUUAUUAUGAACGCCGUAUCUGUGAUACAUUCCGAAUGCAUGUAUGUGCUUCAUCUUAAUCCUUUUAGCUAACCACCCGCCGCCCUCGCUGUCCAUCUCAAGUGUGCCUCAGCUUUCCUACUCCUUCGAUGUGGCUGUUUUCUCUGUUAGCCAGAAGUCUCUCACCUCGUUUAUGACUUUCUUUCAGAGGGACCAGAGAAAAGAGUAGAUGGUUAUUCAGUGUGCCCUUGGAUGGGGGAGAGUCAGGAGCCUUCUGCUGUAUUUCCAACAUCACAUCCUGUUAACCCUUGUGGGAGUGUGGAGAAUCGAAACCACAGCCUCGUACAUUCUGGGCGUGCACUCUAAAACGGAGCUGUGCCCCGGCCCUACCAU